AAAGUUUUCCAACACA
rnacentral:tRNA from 1 species